rnacentral:misc_RNA from 1 species
UACGGAGGGUCCAAGCGUUGUCCGGAAUCACUGGGUGUAAAGGGUGCGCAGGCGGGCGUGUAAGUCAGGGGUGAAAGCCACCGGCCUAACCGGUGAAUUGCCCUUGAUACUGCACGUCUUGAGUCCCGGAGAGGCUAUCGGAAUUCGUGGUGUAGCGGUGAAAUGCGUAAAUAUCACGAGGAACACCUGAUGCGUAGGCGGAUAGCUGGACGGGUACUGACGCUCAGGCACGAAAGCGUGGGGAGCGAACAGG